UACGAAGGGGGCUAGCGUUGCUCGGAAUCACUGGGCGUAAAGGGUGCGUAGGCGGGUCUUUAAGUCAGAGGUGAAAUCCUGGAGCUCAACUCCAGAACUGCCUUUGAUACUGAGGAUCUUGAGUACGGGAGAGGUGAGUGGAACUGCGAGUGUAGGGGUGAAAUUCGUAGAUAUUCGCAAGAACACCAGUGGCGAAGGCGGCUCACUGGCCCGAUACUGACGCUGAGGUGCGAAAGCGUGGGGAGCAAACAGG
rnacentral:rRNA from 1 species